rnacentral:RNase_P_RNA from 1 species
AGAGAAGGAUGUGUGAUCGCUGGUAUUUUUUAUCAGAGGAAAGUCCGAGCACCACUAGGGAAAGUGCCUGUUAAUUGCAGGGCAGGGUGACCUGACGGAAAGUGCAACAGAAAAUAAACCUCCAUUUUAUGGGAAGGGUGAAAAGGUAAGGUAAGAGCUUACCACUUAUUUGGUAACAAAUAAGGUAUGGUAAACCCCACUUGGUGCAAGGCUAAAUAGGGGAAUGUUAAUCCUAGAUAGUUCCCGGGUAAGCUGCAUGAACUAAUUGGUGACAAUUAGUCAAGAUGGAUGAUCACAUCUAUUUAAUUUGCUAAUAGAACAGAACUCGGCUUAUAGUCUUUCUUUUACC